rnacentral:misc_RNA from 1 species
CAACCCUCAAGCCCCCGGGCUUGGUGUUGGGGCUCGGCCCGUCCCUCGUGGACGCGCCGUCUCCGAAAUCUAGUGGCGGUCUCGCUGUAGCCUCCUCUGCGUAGUAGCUAACACCUCGCAACGGGAACGCAGCGCGGCCACGCCGUUAAACCCCCCACUUCUGAAGG